UACGGGGGGGGGCAAGCGUUGUUCGGAAUUACUGGGCGUAAAGGGCUCGUAGGUGGCCAACUAAGUCAUACGUGAAAUCCCUCAGCUUAACUGGGGAACUGCGUCUGAUACUGGAUGGCUUGAGUUUGGGAGAGGGAUGCGGAAUUCCAGGUGUAGCGGUGAAAUGCGUAGAUAUCUGGAGGAACACCGGUGGCGAAGGCGGCAUCCUGGACCAAUACUGACACUGAGGAGCGAAAGCCAGGGGAGCAAACGGG
rnacentral:rRNA from 1 species